CUCAGCUCUAACUAGACACAGCUGACUCCCAGUUUCUGGAAAAUGCGAGCGAAUGUCUUAUCGUUAGGUUAUGUGCCGCUUAGAGGACGUGCAAGUCUUCAAAUGACCUUCGUUAGUGAAGGGUUUGGCGUGAGAGGGAAAGAGUAUGUCUUUUAUACCAUCCUGAAGUGAAAGUUUAGCAUUUGCAUUUCCGAACUUCAUCACGGCAGUGGAUUCUGUCCAGGCCAACAACACAACCUGACUGAAUAUUAGGUGUGUGUAUGAGGUAUAAAGCCAUUGUCAAGGAAUAGCAAAACAAAAGGAAGCUAUGACAGUGUCUUUGUUCUCCACAUAUUAAAGCAUUUUGGAUAAUGGACCAUCCACUAUUCACCUAUUUUCUACAACACCU